rnacentral:rRNA from 1 species
UCUGCCUACGGGGCGCAGCAGUGGGGAAUAUUGCACAAUGGGGGAAACCCUGAAGCAGCGACGCCGCGUGAGUGAGGAAGUAUUUCGGUAUGUAAAGCUCUAUCAGCAGGGAAGAAAAUGACGGUACCUGACUAAGAAGCCCCGGCUAACUACGUGCCAGCAGCCGCGGUAAUACGUAUGGGGCAAGCGUUAUCCGGAUUUACUGGGUGUAAAGGGAGCGUAGGCGGCCUGGCAAGCCUGAUGUGAAAUACCGGGGCCCAACCCCGGGGCUGGAUUGGGAACUGCCA